CCUGGCGGCACUAGCGCGGUGGUCCCACCUGAUGACCCCAUGCCGAACUCAGAAGUGAAACGCCGUAGCGCCGAUGGUAGUGUGGGGUCUCCCCAUGCGAGAGUAGGGAACUGCCAGGC
rnacentral:rRNA from 1 species